rnacentral:lncRNA from 1 species
CUGUUAUUCUAUUCUGCAAAUCCACUGCAUAUGUUUAUUAGUUCCAGUUGCAUUUUGGUUGACUCUUUGUGAUUUUCUACACAGAAGAUCAUGUCAUCUACAAAGAAAUAGAGUUUUACUUCUGUCUUUCUGAUUUGGAUGAGUUUGAUUUCUUUUGCUAUUUCAUUGCUCUAGCUAGGACAGCCAGUAUUGAUUGAAUAGAAGGGGUGAGAGCAUUCUUGCAUCAUGUGAGAUCCUACAGGAAAAGCAUUCCAUUUUCCCUGACUGGUUAUUUCUGCUGUGGUCAUUUCAUGGAUGGUCUUUGUAUUGUUGAGAAGGUCCCCAGUUCCAGUUAUUCCACCUGUCCGGACCGGACCAAUGUAUAUAUGUACUGAUUGCUGUCUCGUGUGUCUGUAAAAUGUGUGAAACCAAACUGCAGCCUCAACACCAUGGACACACGUCGUCAGGACCUCCUCAGGUUCGUGUUAAUUGGCCUUAG